rnacentral:rRNA from 1 species
CUGAACCAGCCAAGUAGCGUGAAGGAUGACUGCCCUAUGGGUUGUAAACUUCUUUUAUAAAGGAAUAAAGUCGGGUAUGCAUACCCGUUUGCAUGUACUUUAUGAAUAAGGGUCGGCUAACUCCGUGCCAGCAGCCGCGGUAAUACGGAGGAUCCGAGCGUUAUCCGGAUUUAUUGGGUUUAAAGGGAGCGUAGAUGGAUGUUUAAGUCAGUUGUGAAAGUUUGCGG